GGGUCCAUAGCUCAGUGGUAGAGCAAUUGACUGCAGAUCAAUAGGUCAUUGGUUCAAACCCGGUUGGGCCCU
rnacentral:tRNA from 2 species